UUGUGACUAUUCUCACUGUUUGCUGUAUUAAGACCAUGCAUGUGUCUGCAGACCUGGAUCUUUUCUUUCCCUAGGUCUGGUUUUACAAAUGCUGCUGAUACUA
rnacentral:snoRNA from 1 species